GCGCUGAUGGUGUAGGGGUAUCAUACAACCCUCUCAUAGUUGCGACUCGGGUUCGAAUCCCGAUUGGCGCA